rnacentral:rRNA from 1 species
GAUGAACGCUGGCGGCGUGCCUAAUACAUGCAAGUCGAGCGAACGGACGAGAAGCUUGCUUCUCUGAUGUUAGCGGCGGACGGGUGAGUAACACGUGGAUAACCUACCUAUAAGACUGGGAUAACUUCGGGAAACCGGAGCUAGUACCGGAUAAUAUUUUGAACCGCAUGGUUCAAAAGUGAAAGACGGUCUUGCUGUCACUUAUAGAUGGAUCCGCGCUGCAUUAGCUAGUUGGUAAGGUAACGGCUUACCAAGGCAACGAUGCAUAGCCGACCUGAGAGGGUGAUCGGCCACACUGGAACUGAGACACGGUCCAGACUCCUACGGGAGGCAGCAGUAGGGAAUCUUCCGCAAUGGGCGAAAGCCUGACGGAGCAACGCCGCGUGAGUGAUGAAGGUCUUCGGAUCGUAAAACUCUGUUAUUAGGGAAGAACAUAUGUGUAAGUAACUGUGCACAUCUUGACGGUUCCUAAUCAGAAAGCCACGGCUAACUACGUG